AACGAACGCUGGCGGCAUGCCUAACACAUGCAAGUCGAACGAGACCUUCGGGUCUAGUGGCGCACGGGUGCGUAACGCGUGGGAACCUGCCCUUAGGUUCGGAAUAACUCCCCGAAAGGGGUGCUAAUACCGGAUAAUGUCUUCGGACCAAAGAUUUAUCGCCUUUGGAUGGGCCCGCGUUGGAUUAGCUAGUUGGUAGGGUAAAAGCCUACCAAGGCGACGAUCCAUAGCUGGUCUGAGAGGAUGAUCAGCCACACUGGGACUGAGACACGGCCCAGACUCCUACGGGAGGCAGCAGUGGGGAAUAUUGGACUAUGGGCGAAAGCCUGAACCAGCAAUGCCUCGUGAGUGAUGAAGGCCUUAGGGUUGUAAAGCUCUUUUACCCGGGAUGAUAAUGACAGUACCGGGAGAAUAAGCUCCGGCUAACUCCGUG
rnacentral:rRNA from 1 species